rnacentral:tRNA from 1 species
UCCCUGUUAGCUCAAUUGGCAGAGCGGGUGGCUGUUAACCACUAGGUUGUAGGUUCAAGUCCUACACAGGGAGCCA